UUUCUAGGUUUUGUCAAGAAGUUGACAUCCUGCUACUGCUCUACCUGAAUUUAUAAACUGAAGUAUAUCAAUUUUUGAACUUCUAUUAAGGAAAUUUUCCAGUAGAAGUAGUACAAUACUCCUAUCUCAGCUCCAAAAGUGAUCAGUUCAUGGUCAGCCUACCUUGUUCAUACCUACCAAUUCACCAUUCUACUUUGCACGCUUAUUUGGAAGAAAAUCCCAGACAACUGAUACCAUCCCCAAUUAUUUCAGUCUAAAAGGGUUCUAGGUUCCUGGAGCUCGAAACGGAGACCAGAGACCUGUAAACAACAGCCAAGGAGUAGCAAACUGGCUUACAAAAUACAAGUUGUAAAAAUGGUACAAAGAAUUCCUGUGUAGCCUUCACCCAGAUUUCCCAACUUGCUUCAUCACUCUCUCUCCCUCUGCAUGUGUGUAUGUACUGGAUUUUCUGAUACAUUUGAGAGUAAGUUGCAGUCAUGAUGUCCCCUUACCUGUAUUUUAGUGUAUACUCCCUAAAAAUAAGGAUCUUUAUCUUACAUAUCCAUAGUAGGAUUAUCGAAGUCAGGAAAUUAAAAAAAAAAUUAUAUUGACCUAAUCAAAUAUUACCAGUUUUCCUACCAAUGCCCUUUUCUGGUCCAGGAUCCAAUCUAGAAUCACAUAUUGCCUUUAAUUUACUUUCUUCUGAAAUAGUUCCUCAGUUUGUCUGUCUUCCAUGACCUCAACCUUUUUUGUUUUGAAGAGCUUUAUUUUUUCCAACAUUAUAGCUUGAUACAUUUCAAACCUCUAAGGAAAAUUAAGAGUAGUAGCAACCAGUACCUUUAUAUUCAUUACCCAAGUUUCAUUAGUAAUUAUAUUUUGCUACACACGCAUGAUUUCUCUGGGUAUAUAUAUGUAGCCACAUAUUUUUGUUUUCUGAACCAUUUAAGUCACUUCACCCUUAAAUACUCUAACACAUACCACCAAAGAUCGAGGACAUUUGCCCCCAUAGCCACAACUCAACUGUCAUCAUGGGAAAUUUAACAUUGAUACAGAUAUGUAAUAUACAGUUAUCUUAGAAUUUCCCAGAUUGUUGAAUUUGUUGUUGUUUAUAACUGGGGGUUGGUUGUUUGAUGCAGGGUCCAAAGUUUAUAUAUUGUAUUUAGUUUACUAUCUCCUAAGCUGCAUUAAUCUAGAAAAUUCCCCAUGAUUAGGUCCAUGUUUAAACAUUUUUGGUAGGCACACUACAUAGAUGAUACUGUGUUCUCAGUGUAUCACUUAGCAGGCACAUGUCAAUUUGUCCCAUUAUCAUUAAGUUUGGUCAUUUGACUAAAGUGGUGUCUACCAUAGUCCUCCAUUAUAAAGGUACUUUUAAUCUGUACUCUGUGGGGUUAUACAUGAAGAUUGAGUGAAUUCCCUGUUCCUUGAUAGUUUUCACCCAUGGCUUUAGCAUCCAUUAAUGGUCUUAUCUGAAUCAAGUUUUUGUUUUGUUUUAUUUUUUACUAUAGCAGUUGGAAAAUGGUGGUUUUCUAUUUCUAGCUGUUUAAACAUUUGUUGGUUGGCAUUCUUCUAUGAAGAGAGCUUUCCCUUCAUCUCUUACUAUUUCAAGUAUCUAUAGACUCUUAAGAUCUUAAAAAAAAAAAAAAAAUUCCUCUCAUUGUGAUGCUGACAUCAUCCCAAAUUAGGCCAGUGGAGACUCCUGUAGGCUAGCUCCUUCGACCUUUCGAUAUGUCCCCAUUAGUUUUGGGCAUUAUGUUACUUUCUUGUACAACAAGAUAGUCCAGGUUCGCCUUGUACUUUCUCUGCUUCAACCCCGGAACAAGCCAUUCCUCUAAGAAAUACAAGUUCCUGUUAGUGAGGGACCAAAUUCUGGCAAAAGGUAGACUCAUUGCUACUUGGUAUCAUCGUUUCUACGUCUUUUCGUAUGAAACCUCCAAUUCUACUCCAUCACUAUAGAGUUCUUUUGCUCCUUCCUCCCAGGGUAAAACAGGAGCUUUGUAGAAUGCUCUUUAAUUGAGGUCUGCCUGUUGUUUCAUGGUUAGACUCAGGUUUUGUGUUUUUGGUAGGAGUACAACAGAAGUGAGGUUGUAUCUUCCUCAGUGCAUCAGAUUAGGAGGCCCAUGUUGAUUGGUUCCAUGACUGAUGGUUUUAACUUUGGUCAUCGAUGGAGGUGGUGUCUAUCAGUGUUCUCUACUUAAAUGUUACUAGUUCCCCCUUUAUAAGUAAUAGUACCUUACAGAAGAGGUGUUUUGAGAUCACAUAAAUGCUGUUUUUAUCAUCAUUCUGCCUACUA